CCCUUAGAUGUUCUGGGCCGCACGCGCGCUACAAUGAUGAAUUCAACGAGUUUAUAACCUUGGUUGAAAAGCCUGGGUAAUCUUUUGAACUUUCGUCGUGAUGGGGCUAGACCCUUGCAAUUAUUGGUCUCCAACGAGGAAUUCCUAGUAAACGCAAGUCAUCAGCUUGCAUUGAUUACGUCCCUGCCCUUUGUACACACCGCCCGUCGCACCUACCGAUUGAAUGUUUCGGUGAAGAUUCCGGAUAGGACUUUUUUGAUUUAUUUCAAUUUUGUCUUAAAAGCUAUCUAAACCUCAACAUUUAGAGGAAGGUGAAGUCGUAACA
rnacentral:rRNA from 1 species